rnacentral:rRNA from 1 species
AGGCUUAACACAUGCAAGUCGAGCGGAAACGAGAAUAGCUUGCUAUUCGGCGUCGAGCGGCGGACGGGUGAGUAAUGCUUGGGAAUAUGCCUUUGAGUGGGGGACAACAGUUGGAAACGACUGCUAAUACCGCAUAACGUCUACGGACCAAAGGGGGGGAUGCUUCGGCACCUCUCGCUCAUAGAUUAGCCCAAGUGAGAUUAGCUAGUUGGUACGGUAAUGGCGUACCAAGGCGACGAUCUCUAGCUGGUUUGAGAGGAUGAUCAGCCACACUGGGACUGAGACACGGCCCAGACUCCUACGGGAGGCAGCAGUGGGGAAUAUUGCACAAUGGGGGAAACCCUGAUGCAGCCAUGCCGCGUGUGUGAAGAAGGCCUUCGGGUUGUAAAGCACUUUCAGUUGUGAGGAAAGGUGUAAGUUUAAUAAACUUGCACUGUGACGUUAGCAACAGAAGAAGCACCGGCUAACUCCGUGCCAGCAGCCGCGGUAAUACGGAGGGUGCGAGCGUUAAUCGGAAUUACUGGGCGUAAAGCGUGCGUAGGCGGUUAAUUAAGUCAGAUGUGAAAUCCCGGAGCUCAACUUCGGAACUGCAUUUGAAACUGGUUAACUAGAAUACUGUAGAGGGUGGUGGAAUUUCCAGUGUAGCGGUGAAAUGCGUAGAGAUUGGAAGGAACAUCAGUGGCGAAGGUGGCCACCUGGACAGAUAUUGACGCUGAGGCACGAAAGCGUGGGGAGCGAACAGGAUUAGAUACCCUGGUAGUCCACGCCGUAAACGAUGUCAACUAGCCGUUUGUGGGUUUAACCCGUGAGUGGCGUAGCUAACGCGCUAAGUUGACCGCCUGGGGAGUACGGCCGCAAGGUUAAAACUCAAAUGAAUUGACGGGGGCCCGC